GGGGGACAAUCGUCCUCGGGCCCGGUUCAUGGCAACCGUGCCUAGUAAAUGGUUUAUUCUCUUUCUGAAUCAGUGAAACCCUAUUUUACACACACCGUCUCCAUUUGUGCAGAUUUCCUGCAGAUGCAGCAGAUCAUGACUGUAAUUAUAAUCAAUGAAUAUUCAGCAGCAGCUGCAGCAGAUUUUAGCACUAUAAGAUAAUCUGGAAGAACUGAAGGACAAUAAAAGACAGACAGUCAUGGAUGUUACAGUCAGCCGGAUCCAGACCAGAUGGUGGACCUGCACCUAUACACAACCUCAUGAAGAUCCCAUGUGAAGACCUCGUUGACAUGUCAGCCAUUGGAACAUAUCCUCAGAAAAGACCACAAGAACCAGACAAGCUGCACAGUCUCCAUACCAUUGUGAUGAAUGCAAUCUUUAAGCAGAAGGAACGGGAUGAGAUAUUCUGAAUGCUACCGAUUUCAAUCUGACUUUUGUUGUGGGCUAAAUCAUAAUCAUACAGCGUUGGCAUCUUGAACUUGAGUGAUUUUUGCAAUAAGGGGAAGACUAUUUCCACAACAGCUUCAGCAGAUCAACACCCAAAAGCCAUCAUCUUCCUGUUAUCACUGUAAAGCUGCUUAAAAAUAAUCUGUAUUGUAUGAAGUGCUAAAUAAAAUUGACU